rnacentral:sRNA from 1 species
CCCCCCCUUUUUUUUUAUGAACGUUCUUAAUAUUGUGAAAAUUUCUGGUAUGAACAUGUAAACUAGUACAUGUACUGUUAUUAAUAUUAUCCUAUGUUAUAUAAUUAUUCUUUUACUACUAUUGUGAACUAUUUUGAUUUGCGUAAAUUUAAUACUUGUAUCUAGAAUCUCAUUUGUUUCUAUGGUAAAAGAAAAUUUUGCACUCUGAAGAUAUUUGAUUAAGAAAAUAACCAACAGUUGAAUAAAAUGUCCUGUGAUCCAUGUACACAUACACAAAAAAAGAGAGUUGAAUUGAGAAGAGACAAAUACAUGUACAUGUAGAUUUCUUCAAUAUACAGCAGUUCAGCUGUGCUUUUGUAUAACGAGUGGAAACCGGUUAUUUAAAAUGCUGUCGAUAAUUUUAUACUUCAAGUUGUGACAACAAGUCUAUCAAAUGCACAAUCAUGAUAUCUGUUGUAACUUUAUACUGAAACUGCUGGACAUGUGAUUUAUUUGCUACUUUGUCAUAUAAAUCUUAACAGUAGCCUUGUAUCAGUUUUGGCAAAGAGUAAAAGAUUUGCAUGUUAGAAAAUUUUAGUCGUAAAUUCUCCCUGUACGAUUUAUUUUGAAUGUGUUUACUCUUCCAUUAUGCCAAAUUAUGUGGAAAAAUUAUGAGCCAAUGUGUGUGUUUCUUUUAUUAUUCACUGUUAAUGAAGAAUGAAUUAUGAUAGGUUUGAUUGUUUUUUAAAUUUAUAACGAAAUCUCAUCUGCACUAGUGUUCCUUACAAAGGGUAUCGAGAUUUUCAGAUUGUCAAAUUUUGAAAAUAAUCUUGACUGUGCCAUUGAUUUUUAUUUUGUUUUCAAUUGGAAGGUUAUCUAUUGUAUGAAAAAAAUUGCGUGCUCUUUUUUUUGUUGGCUCUUUGGAGUGGAAGUUGAAUGUUUGUUGGUGUUUUGACCGUUACCAAUUUAUAACAAUUUUGUCUUGUCUAUACAAACCCUCAAACGUAACAGUACAUAAAACCUUGAAAUUAAAACUCCUGUAUUUAUGGAUCAACAUCUUAGGAAUUUCCACAGCAUUUAAUGCAAUGCUUUUGUUUGGAUGUUAAAAUGAGAAUUAAAACCAAAACUGUUUAAACCUGAAUUUACUAUUGACAUCUUUUAUCAUGAAUACUGCUGUGGGCACUUUUCCAUUUUGUUUUGGUAUUUGUAGUUUGACCUAUAUCACUGUGAAGAUCUAUGUCUGGUUUUUUUUUUCGAGUUGUGAGUUCAAGAUGUUUCUUUUUUUCCUGUUUUUCAAUGUUAGAAUGUUUACAGUUAUAACCUUUGAGAAUAUCAAUUGAUUUUUAUAAAUGGUAUGCAAUGUUUUAAUUAGUGUUCUUGUUGCUUUGUAAACAAUUUUGUCACAUUUUCAAGAAAAGUCAAAUAAAUUGGUUGUAACAUGCCAU